rnacentral:rRNA from 1 species
UACAGAGGUCUCAAGCGUUGUUCGGAUUCAUUGGGCGUAAAGGGUGCGUAGGCGGCGCGGUAAGUCGGGUGUGAAAGCCUUGAGCUCAACUCAAGAAAUGCACUCGAUACUGGAUGACUAGAGGACCGGAGAGGAUAGUGGAAUUCCCAGUGUAGUGGUGAAAUACGUAGAGAUUGGGAAGAACACCAGUGGCGAAGGCGGCUAUCUGGACGGUUUCUGACGCUAAGACGCGAAAGCGUGGGGAGCAACAGG